rnacentral:lncRNA from 1 species
CUGGAAAGUCAUGAAGAUGCUGCCCAUUGCUGGCUCCAGAGCCACAUUAUUUUAGCCACAAUCCCCACCAGCAAAAUGGAUGCUCCUCGUCCUGCCACACCACACCCUGGGGUCUCUGUUAUUGCUCUUCUAGAAAAAUAAAAUGCUCUGUGGCUGUUUGUUGGCAGAAACAUUACCUCUAUCUCAUUUGGAAUUCAAGCUGAAAGGGGCUCUGGGAAAUGUAGGCUUCAGCUUUUUUUGGAUCCACCAGUGAGUCACGGCACACCUGUGUGCACAAAUGGGUUACAAGUGUGUUAAGAGAUAGCCAUCUUGGACCGGGGGUGGUGGCUCACGCCUAUAAUCCCAGCACUUUGGAAGGCCAAAGGCGG